AGUGAACGCUGGCGGUAGGCCUAACACAUGCAAGUCGAACGGCAGCACAGUAAGAGCUUGCUCUUACGGGUGGCGAGUGGCGGACGGGUGAGGAAUACAUCGGAAUCUACUUUUUCGUGGGGGCUAACGUAGGGAAACUUACGCUAAUACCGCAUACGACCUACGGGUGAAAGCAGGGGAUCUUCGGACCUUGCGCGAUUGAAUGAGCCGAUGUCGGAUUAGCUAGUUGGCGGGGUAAAGGCCCACCAAGGCGACGAUCCGUAGCUGGUCUGAGAGGAUGAUCAGCCACACUGGAACUGAGACACGGUCCAGACUCCUACGGGAGGCAGCAGUGGGGAAUAUUGGACAAAGGGCGCAAGCCUGAUCCAGCCAUACCGCGUGGGUGAAGAAGGCCUUCGGGUUGUAAAGCCCUGUUGUUGGGAAAGAAAAGCAGCAGGUUAAUACCCCGCUGUUCUGACGGUACCCAAAGAAUAAGCACCGGCUAACUUCGUG
rnacentral:rRNA from 1 species